rnacentral:misc_RNA from 1 species
UACGGAGGGGGCUAGCGUUGUUCGGAAUUACUGGGCGUAAAGCGCGCGUAGGCGGGCUAUUAAGUCAGAGGUGAAAUCCCACGGCUCAACCGCGGAACUGCCUUUGAUACUGGUAGCCUUGAGUUCGAGAGAGGUGAGUGGAAUUCCGAGUGUAGAGGUGAAAUUCGUAGAUAUUCGGAGGAACACCAGUGGCGAAGGCGGCUCACUGGCUCGAUACUGACGCUGAGGUGCGAAAGUGUGGGGAGCAAACAGG